AAUACGGAGGGUGCGAGCGUUAAUCGGAAUUACUGGGCGUAAAGCGCAUGCAGGUGGUUUGUUAAGUCAGAUGUGAAAGCCCGGGGCUCAACCUCGGAACUGCAUUUGAAACUGGCAAACUAGAGUACUGUAGAGGGGGGUAGAAUUUCAGGUGUAGCGGUGAAAUGCGUAGAGAUCUGAAGGAAUACCAGUGGCGAAGGCGGCCCCCUGGACAGAUACUGACACUCAGAUGCGAAAGCGUGGGGAGCAAACAGGAUUAGAUACCCUGGUAGUCCACGCCGUAAACGAUGUCUACUUGGAGGUUGUGGCCUUGAGCCGUGGCUUUCGGAGCUAACGCGUUAAGUAGACCGCCUGGGGAGUACGGUCGCAAGAUUAAAACUCAAAUGAAUUGACGGGGGCCCGCACAAGCGGUGGAGCAUGUGGUUUAAUUCGAUGCAACACGAAGAACCUUACCUACUCUUGACAUCCAGAGAACUUAGCAGAGAUGCUUUGGUGCCUUCGGGAACUCUGAGACAGGUGCUGCAUGGCUGUCGUCAGCUCGUGUUGUGAAAUGUUGGGUUAAGUCCCGCAACGAGCGCAACCCUUAUCCUUGUUUGCCAGCGAGUAAUGUCGGGAACUCCAGGGAGACUGCCGGUGAUAAACCGGAGGAAGGUGGGGACGACGUCAAGUCAUCAUGGCCCUUACGAGUAGGGCUACACACGUGCUACAAUGGCGCAUACAGAGGGCGGCCAACUCGCGAGAGUGAGCGAAUCCCAAAAAGUGCGUCGUAGUCCGGAUUGGAGUCUGCAACUCGACUCCAUGAAGUCGGAAUCGCUAGUAAUCGUAGAUCAGAAUGCUACGGUGAAUACGUUCCCGGGCCUUGUACACACCGCCCGUCACACCAUGGGAGUGGGCUGCAAAAGAAGUGGGUAGUUUAACCUUCGGGAGGACGCUCACCACUUUGUGGUUCAUGACUGG
rnacentral:rRNA from 1 species